UACGAAGGAUCCAAGCGUUAUCCGGAUUCAUUGGGUUUAAAGGGUGCGUAGGCGGUUUAAUAAGUCAGCGGUGAAAGCCCAUAGCUUAACUAUGGAACUGCCGUUGAUACUGUUGAACUAGAGUACAUAUGACGUUGGCGGAAUGUGUCAUGUAGCGGUGAAAUGCAUAGAUAUGACACAGAACACCGAUUGCGAAGGCAGCUGACGAAAAUGUAACUGACGCUGAUGCACGAAAGUGCGGGGAUCAAACAGG
rnacentral:rRNA from 1 species